AACGAACGCUGGCGGCGUGGAUAAGACAUGCAAGUCGAACGGGAACUUCAGCUGUAGCAAUACAGUUGAAGUUUUAGUGGCGAACGGGUGCGUAACACGUGGGCAAUCUGCCGAGAAGUGGGGGAUAGCUCGCCGAAAGGCGAAUUAAUACCGCAUAUGAUCAGCUAAGACAUCUUAGCGACAUCAAAGCCGGGGCAACCUGGCGCUUUUUGAGGAGCCCGCGGCCUAUCAGCUAGUUGGUGAGGUAACGGCUCACCAAGGCUAUGGCGGGUAGCUGGUCUGAGAGGACGACCAGUCACACUGGAACUGAGACACGGUCCAGACACCUACGGGUGGCAGCAGUCGAGAAUUUUUCNCAAUGGGGCAACCCUGAAGGAGCGACGCCGCGUGGAGGAUGAAGG
rnacentral:rRNA from 1 species